UUCUUAUCAAGAGCGACCGAGGGACUGGCCCGGUGACGUCGCGGCAACCCGCCUGAAAAGGUACGGUGCCAAUUCCAGCAAAGCCGCACAGCGGUUUUGACAGAUAAGGA
rnacentral:ncRNA from 2 species